UAGAGUUUGAUCCUGGCUCAGGAUGAACGCUAGCUACAGGCUUAACACAUGCAAGUCGAGGGGAAACGAUAGAGAAAGCUUGCUUUUUCUAGGCGUCGACCGGCGCACGGGUGAGUAACGCGUAUCCAACCUGCCCACCACUUGGGAAUAACCUUGCGAAAGUAAGACUAAUACCCAAUGAUAUCUCUAGAAGACAUCUGAAAGAGAUUAAAGAUUUAUCGGUGAUGGAUGGGGAUGCGUCUGAUUAGCUUGUUGGCGGGGUAACGGCCCACCAAGGCGACGAUCAGUAGGGGUUCUGAGAGGAAGGUCCCCCACAUUGGAACUGAGACACGGUCCAAACUCCUACGGGAGGCAGCAGUGAGGAAUAUUGGUCAAUGGGCGAGAGCCUGAACCAGCCAAGUAGCGUGCAGGAUGACGGCCCUAUGGGUUGUAAACUGCUUUUAUAAGGGAAUAAAGUGAGCCUCGUGAGACUUUUUGCAUGUACCUUAUGAAUAAGGACCGGCUAAUUCCGUGCCAGCAGCCGCGGUAAUACGGAAGGUCCGGGCGUUAUCCGGAUUUAUUGGGUUUAAAGGGAGCGUAGGCCGGAGAUUAAGCGUGUUGUGAAAUGUAGACGCUCAACGUCUGCACUGCAGCGCGAACUGGUUUCCUUGAGUACGCACAAAGUGGGCGGAAUUCGUGGUGUAGCGGUGAAAUGCUUAGAUAUCACGAAGAACUCCGAUUGCGAAGGCAGCUCACUGGAGCGCAACUGACGCUGAAGCUCGAAAGUGCGGGUAUCGAACAGGAUUAGAUACCCUGGUAGUCCGCACGGUAAACGAUGGAUGCCCGCUGUUGGUCUGAAUAGGUCAGCGGCCAAGCGAAAGCAUUAAGCAUCCCACCUGGGGAGUACGCCGGCAACGGUGAAA
rnacentral:rRNA from 1 species